rnacentral:rRNA from 1 species
GGUGGCUAUAGCGACGGGGAACCGCCUCUUCCCAUUCCGAACAGAGAAGCUAAGCCCGUCAUCGCCGAUGGUACUGCCAGACCAGGUGGGAGAGUAGGAAGCUGCCG